CUGAUGGCUGCUGGAGCUUCUACUCCAGGUUCAAGGGCAGGAGAGCCCAACACUUCACAUCUUUCUUUGGAUAUGCCGCCUGGCUCAAGGUGACAGCAGAUGGCUGGAGUUCUGGUGUGAUGUGGCUGGAUGAUGCAUGAUCUGAGGACCCCUGCACUGGUGAAUGUGGGCUAUUCACCGCAAUGAAUUACUGGGAUCUUGAGUGGGGAGAGGAGAAGAAGAGAGCGUGUAUGUAUAUGG